CUAUAUUUGUUGAAAACUUUGCAUCAUUGGACUGAUAAAUCAUUUAGUGAGUUGCUAAUGUUUUUGAAAGAUGUACUACCAGAAGGUGAGACACUGCCAAAAUCUUUUUACGAGACAAAAAAGAUAAUUAGUAACUUAGGUCUCAAGUAUGAUAAGAUUGAUGCAUGUCCCUUUGAUUGUAUGUUGUACUGGAAGGAGCACGCUAAUGAUGAAACAUGUCAUAAAUGUGGCAAGUCUAGGUGGAAGGAUUUUGACACUCAUUCCGAGGGCAGUACAAGUACAUCACCCCGAUCAAAAAAGACAAAAAUUCCAGCCAAAGUUAUAAGGUAUUUCCCUCUUAAGUCAAGACUUCAACGGUUGUUCAUGUCAAAUAAGACAGCUUCAGAUAUGCGAUGGCAUGAGGAAGAACGCAUAAAAGAUGGAAAAUUAAGACAUCCUGCUGACUCUCUAGCGUGGGAUCAUUUUGACAAAAAGUAUCCAAAGUUUGCUAGGGAUUCUAGAAAUGUUAGACUUGGCCUAGCAUCAGACGGUUUCAACCCAUUUAGGACUAUGAGUAUUGCACAUAGUACAUGGCCUGUUGUUCUUGCUGUAUACAACUUGCCAGGGUGGAUGUGCAUGAAACAACCUUUUUUCAUACUGUCCACCUUAAUCCCUGGUCCUAAGGGUCCUGGAAAUGAUAUUGAUGUAUAUUUGCAGCCCUUGAUAGAAGAAUUAAAGGAAUUGUGGGUUGAAGGGGUGGAUACCUAUGAUACGUCGAGAAAAGGGAUGUUUCGCAUGCAUGCAGCGUUAUUGUGGACUAUAAGUGACUUUCCUGCUUUUGCAAACUUAUCUGGUUGGAGUACAAAGGGGUAUUUGGCUUGUCCAGUUUGUCUUAAAGACACUUGUUCUUGUAGGUUAAAGCAUAGCAAAAAAAUUUGUUAUACAGGCCAUGGGCGUUUUGUUGAGCAAUGUCAUAGAUUCAGACGCAAUAAAGCAGCUUUUGAUGGAACAGAAGAGACUAGGUGUGCGCCACCUAUGUUAUCUGGAACAGAAGUGCUACAUGAACUAGAGGGCAUUAGUUUUCCAGCAUUUGGGAAAGGGGAUGAUGGCAAGGGGAAUGCUGCACAAGUGGAUGAAAUAGAUGAAAAUCCAAUGUUCAAUUGGAGGAAGAAGAGUAUAUUUUUUGAAUUGCCUUAUUGGGAGCACCUUCUUAUUCGUCAUAAUCUUGAUGUGAUGCAUAUUGAGAAGAAUAUAUGCGAUAAUGUACUUUAUACUUUGAUGAAUGAACCAGGUCGAGGAAAGGAUGGUUUAAAAUCAAGACUCGACUUGCAGGAGAUGCAAAUAAGGCAUUCACUUCACCCCCAGGAACGUGGUGCAAACAAAUAUUAUUUGCCUUCAGCAAGUUACACAUUUUCUCCACUUGAAAAGAAAAUCUUUUGUCGGGCGUUGAAAAAAGUUAAAGUUCCAGAUGGAUAUGCAGCUAACAUAUCACGUUAUGUGAAAUUGAAAGAGCGAAAAAUUAGCGGUUUAAAGAGCCAUGAUUCCCAUAUCCUAAUGCAACAACUAUUACCAGUAUCCAUUCGCAAGCUAUUGCCAAAGAAUGUAUGCUCUACACUUGUUGAGUUGAGUAACUUUUAUAAGGAAUUAUGUUCAAAAACUCUCAUACCGGCUGAGUUGGACAAUUUGCAAAAUAAGAUUGCUUUAACACUUUGUAAAUUGGAAAUGAUAUUCCCACCAUCUUUUUUUGAUGUGAUGGUCCACUUAUCAAUUCACUUAGCUCAGGAAGCAAAGAUCACAGGACCAGUGCAAUAUCGUUGGAUGUAUCCAUUUGAGAGGUUUAACUUUUUUGCACUAUUUUCGUAGGCUUUUUUCCCCACUAAAUAUUGCAAAUACUUCUCAUUUUUUUGUUGUAUCCUAUCAGGUAUCUUUUAACCUUAAAAAAUUAUGUGCGCAAUAGAAGUCGCCCAGAGGGUUCAAUUGCAGAAGGGUAUUUAGCUGAGGAAUGCUUAAAUUUUUGUUCAAGAUACCUAGCAAACGUGGAGACAAGGUUCAAUAGGCCCUCAAGGAAUGAUGACAACCUUGAUGAUGGAGAAGAGAUGUCUACUUUUGGCCCUAGAGGUCGUGCCUUAGGAAAACAGGAGAUGAUUGUUUUAGAUGAUGAUUGUCAAACACAAGCUCAUCGGUAUGUGUUAUUUAACUACGACGGAGCUACACAAUUCAUUGAAAAGCAUAAGAAAUUUCUUAAAAGAAGGCAACGGAAUUUAAAGCCACGACAAAUACAAUCAAUGUCUCAUCUAUCAUUUCAUAAGUGGUUUAAUGAAUGUCUGCGGAAUACGGAGGAUCCUAUCCCUAAUGAGAUUCGAUGGCUAGCUCCGGGUCCUAAUGUCGUUUCCAAACGAUUUAAGUCGUUCGUGAUUAAUGGGUUUAAGUUUAAUGUUAGAGAUCGUGAUAAUCAGAGGAAGACCCAAAAUAGUGGUGUUGUUUUAAAAGCACACACAUCAAGUUAUGCAAGAGCCAGUGAUCAAAAUCCUAUUGCAGGAAAUGUUCAUUACUUCGGAUUAUUGAUUGAUAUCAAUGAGUUGGACUACAAUGAAGAAAGGAAGGUUGUAUUGUUCAAGUGUGAUUGGUUUGAUGUACUCUCUAAGGGUAGAGGGAUAAAGGAGGAUGAUUUUGGGUUUACACUCGUUAAUUUUUCACGUGUAAUGCGAACUGACGAACCAUUCAUUUUAGUAUCUCAGGCUGAGCAAGUGUUUUAUGUUCAAGACCCAGUUGAUACAGAUUGGCAUGUUGUUAUAGGGACAAAACCUCGUGAUUUAUAUGAUAUUCCUGAAGAUGAUACUGAGACCUAUGGAUUUGAGCAACCAUUUAGUUCUCUACACUCGGAUGCAACUGAUGAUCACAUUCAUUGGGAUAGAGGUGAUGUGCCUGGAACAAUGGUUGAUAAAUCUUCAUCAGCAAACACGGAAAAAGAAGAUAUUCUGGAUGAAUAACAUACUUAGAAUGAUGAUAAUUUUUUCUUAAAUGUUGCAUUUUCUUAUUUUCAUCUUUUUUUUGGCUUCGUGCUUAUGGAAUAUUAUGAUUUUUUUUCCAUC